AUUUUAAGGCUAAAAUAGAUUUUAAAGUGAAGAUACGAUCCCUAGUUGCAAUAGCACACCCUUCCACAAAUUAUUCACGAAUUAACAUAACCCAAAGCCCCCAGCUCAUAUUAAAUUCUGAUUCACCUCUCACCUUUGAACAAAACAUAGAUUUCAAAUUACCUCUAAAGCAAACAAGAUAUAAAAGAGUUGAAACUGAAUAAUGAAAAUUACUAAUUCUGAAAUCAAACUCCAAAAAUCAUUUGACAGUCUUUAAGGUUCACAUGACACGGACACAAGCAAAGGAAGGUUGAACUUCAAAAUUAUGCAAUUGAGCUAUUCUACAGACCAUGAAAAAAUUGACCAACAUAACAACCACGCUAAUUGAUAGGGAAAAUGGAUCUUAAAUCAGAUACCUAAAGAAACAAAUGACUAUUCUAAUGAACACUUAACCAUAACUAUAGGUAGUACUUGCAGAAAAACCCCACACAAUCCAUAUAUCAAAUUAACAACUCAUAUUCUUCAACUUAUGCAAAUAAUCCUAAUUAUGGGCAACUUAUAAACCAUACACAGGUGAGCAACAAACAAAAAAGAGUUAUUCUCCAUGCUAAUACCUCUAACUCGACAGAUUAACAAACUCCAUAUCCCGCCUUAAGAUAGAAGGCAACACAAAGGAUACAAAUGAGUACGAUAAAUAAUAGUUACAUUACACUACUUCAGAAAUUCAUAAAAGACAUAGCUAACAUUCCAUAGGAGGAGGAUAAUAUUCAUUUCUGAAAUCUUCAAUCAAUAAUAAUACUUCAAACUUGCAUUUCACAUAUUCAGAGAAUCAAGAAGUACCUGGAUGUAGAAAUCAAAGCAAGAAAGAGAUGAGAGGAUUAAUAGCAAUGGAGUAAACCCAACCUGCAAUUCAACGAUAGUGAACUCAACUUCUUCAAACCAUUUUCAAACCCUAUAUGAGUCAGAGAUAACUUCAGAAAAUGAAAACCUCAAGAAUUAAAGAAGAAUUUCAAUGGAACAGUGAUUUUAUGAUAUUUUCAGACCACUUUUCAAUAUCUUCAGCCGUUUCUUUUCAGAAUUUGUUUUGCUCUCCCAAAACCUCCCUUGAAUACCAAGUAACCAUGCCUUUAUGGGCAAACUAUUAGGGCAUCCUAAAAGAAAUCAGAUUUGCACUUUGCACCUUUUGAUAUUUUCAUUUUAGCUUAGAAAAUCUUAGUUUAAAAAUUAACUUUCCAUAUUAGUCCUAACAUCCAGCUUCCUAGAAGUUUCCUUAGGCUAUUACAAAUGAUUCCCUUAUCUACAAUUCCUAAUUUACCUCUUUACGCCUUGUUAAUUACUUAUGAAAAACCAGACCAAUAAUGGGUGAAAAUUGACCCAAUAACCCAAACCAAUUUGGACGGGCUACUCUUUGUCAAAUGAAUCAGAGGCAGCCUAAAACCCAAAGGACACACUUAUCUAAUUAAAAAAAAUCUGUAAGCACAUGAUAACAUGAAUACUGAAACGCUUCAAUAAAUCAAAAAAUCUAGACUAAACGAUGUACUAACCAAUUAACUAAAUUAAAAAAUCUAAACUAAACUAAUUAAUAGACUAAAUGUAUUAAUUAAAGAAAAAUAUUUAAAACUAACAUGCACAGAAAAACGUCCCUGGAGAAAUUAGAAGAAAUAGAGAGGAAUCAAGAAGACGAGAAGAAGCAGAAAAAUAGAAAAAGAAAAAUGAAGAAAAGAUUAAACGAAGGAGAAAAAGAAAAGAAAACCCUACCAAAGUUCAGACAGUGAAGAAAGGACCCUGAGUCUUCAAACCCUCGAAUUUUCAGCCAAAUCUAAUAUUAAUCGUGUGUUCUUAUAAAGAACACACGAAUAAAAUCAAAUUAGGCCUAAAUCUUCAACAAAAUUUCAAUUUGGACGCUUUUGGGAUUUUUAGGGUUCAUCUUUCGAUCUAAAAUUCGAGAAGUUCCUGGGAGAUUUGAAGCAAAUGGAGUGAGGAUUUGGAAUGAGGGGUCUUGGUGGUUACGGGGCGUUAUUUUGGAGUCGUUUGGGACUGGCGCCGCAGGCCUGAGACGGUAGGGAGAUGAGGCGGCUUCUAGGGUUUUGGUUAGAAGUCUCUGAAAAAGAAGGGGGUGAGGGAGACGAGUAAUAGAAGGGG
rnacentral:lncRNA from 1 species